rnacentral:lncRNA from 1 species
AUAAUCACUGAAAGAAGAGACAUGAAAGGUAGCAUGUAUUUGGUUAAAAAUGGCAAGUUUCAUAUUAUACUAACAUUGAUGAGGACUACAGCUUUCAAUUACUAGAGAAGGUAAAACUAAAGGAAACAGCCACAUUUAAUAAGACUAAGAAAAUACAAAAGACAGAUGAAGGAUUUAAGAUAAAAUAUUUGAACGUAGGACAAAAAGCUUAUAUUUCUCCACUACAAUACUAAGAUUCUCAAAUUGAGUUAAAAGACAUAAUCUAAAUACAUGCUGCUUCCAAGAGACAUACCUAAAAUAACAUGGCAUUAAAAUGUUUUAAAAAGAUGGGCAAAGAUUUAUCAAAUUGAGAACAAACUGUCUGUAACCACAAAUUUAAUAGGAUCAAGAAUUGACUGUCCUAAGUUAAAAUGAUUUUACUAUUCCAGUAAAUUCUUGCCCAGGAAUAUAAAGUUUUAAAAAACAUUACUCUUUGUUUCAUGAACUCCGUAAAAUCCAUUUAUCCAAACAAUAGGCUGUUCAACUUGCCUCCUUCUAAGGGCAUUAGAGUGAACAGCCUUCUUCUCGGGAAAAGAGAUUUCUUCAAUGGGCAAACUCUGUUAUCAAACAGCUGUUUGACUCAUCAAGGCUUCAAAACUCUUAUCUGGCCACGUCCACCAAUCCUAAACUAUAACAUCAAAAGCUUUGCACAAUCUACUCAGAUUCCCGCAUUGAAGACCACUUUAAACCAAACCACAGAACUCCUUACACAUCCACCCAUAGGUGAAUUUCUCCUUACUGCAGUAACUACCAAACUCAUCUUCACCUGAACACGGUGUCAUUUGCGUGGUUUCUUCUGAGUUGGAGGUCAAGAAAAUAACCUCAAAAAAGUUAACACCAAUUAUCAGGUAAACUAAAUGAUAAUUAAAAGCAAAACUGGGUUUUUUUUAAUACUGAUAAAAAGAUAUAGCCCAUAACAAAGAUAUAACAGUCAAAAAUCUUUAAGUACUAAAUCACAUACUGUCAAAUAUUAAUUAAGUUCAAACUGUUAAAAGAAGAAAUUGACAGGAACAAACAGCUGUGGGAGAACUUAACUUUUGACAGAUCAAGUAGUCAAAAAAGAAAGAAAGACAGGGCCGUCCUGCUGGUUGUGUAGUGGCUGAGUUCAGCAUGCUCCACUUCAGUGGCCCAGGUUCACGGGUCCGGAUCACAGGCACAGACCUACACCACUCAUCAAGCCAUGCUGUGGGGACGUCUCACAUACAAUAUAGAGGAAGAUGGGCACAGAUGUUAGCUCAGGGCCAAUCUUCCUCACACACACACACACAAAAAAGAAAGA